rnacentral:rRNA from 1 species
AUUGAACGCUGGCGGCAUGCCUUACACAUGCAAGUCGAACGGCAGCACGGGUGCUUGCACCUGGUGGCGAGUGGCGAACGGGUGAGUAAUACAUCGGAACAUGUCCUGUAGUGGGGGAUAGCCCGGCGAAAGCCGGAUUAAUACCGCAUACGAUCUACGGAUGAAAGCGGGGGACCUUCGGGCCUCGCGCUAUAGGGUUGGCCGAUAGCUGAUUAGCUAGUUGGUGGGGUAAAGGCCUACCAAGGCGACGAUCAGUAGCUGGUCUGAGAGGACGACCAGCCACACUGGGACUGAGACACGGCCCAGACUCCUACGGGAGGCAGCAGUGGGGAAUUUUGGACAAUGGGCGAAAGCCUGAUCCAGCAAUGCCGCGUGUGUGAAGAAGGCCUUCGGGUUGUAAAGCACUUUUGUCCGGAAAGAAAUCCUUGGCUCUAAUACAGUCGGGGGAUGACGGUACCAGAAGAAUAAGCACCGGCUAACUACGUG